rnacentral:lncRNA from 1 species
UUCAACUGUAAAUCAGUUUUACCUCCCCACUGGUCUUUUACAAUCGAUCGUCUACCCAUACAGACAUUUUUUACUACCCAAGUUAUACGUAAUUUUCGCAUACAGACAGAUAAAUUUUGGUGCCGAACUGUAAAUUCAGCAUUUGGGUAUGCGUUUUGGCUAAACGUACCCAAAGUGGUAAAAUUAUCUAUCUGCAUCACCGAUAAAAUAAUGUGUGCGACGCGCAUACCGACUGAAAUUCGGCAAAACUUAGGCGUUCGCGAACGAUCUUUUCGGUAGAUAAAUUAAAUGGAUGUGAUUUUCGUUACGAAAUUUACAGCAGUUGUAUUCUGGCAACAUAAUAAUUCAGAUUCAAGUUUAGUUUCAAGUGAGAAUGUGAAAAAUUUUCUGUGACCACCCAAGUUAUGCUGAGUUUUGCGUAGUCUGAGAUGGCGCUUCCAUCGCAGACGGGAGAUACGCAAGAAGCGUUUAGACACGCUUCCGCGUUGUGUGUGCGGUUAAGUAGGUGGAGUGGAUCAAGUGGAAUUUUUUGCAUUUUUCAUCAGAGAAUAAAGGUUCGUGGGCAAGAAUACGGAUCCAUCUGGCGAAAUGAGUUUUGCGAUUGUCUCAUCGGACCGCACCCUCUGAUUGAGUGAAAUCAUUUUACUAUGAUUUAUUGAAGGACCUUAGUUGCCAUGCUAUGCCGACAAUGAUUCGUAAUCUUGCACGUUGCACUUCCUUUGAACCGUUCCAGCUUACUGCGCUGACCAUUGACUCUUAUCUUUCAAACCACGCCUUCGUUUAAGCCAAAUAUCCAUGAUUUUCUGAAAGCUUCUGUUUCGAUCAGACUUAAGCUAACUAUGCUAAGCCACAACUCAUCUUCUGCUUGAAUUCUUCCAAAGGUCAGAGAUUUUCAUUUUUAUUCGGUCAUUCGACAGGAAAAUUCCCAUCAAGAAGAUUGUCAGAUUCAAAAUUGUAUAUCCUCUAUGAAUAGGGCUAUCUACGACAUCAAGGGAGAUGAAACUACAAAGAGUAGUAGCAGGGUGGAAAGAAGAAAGUCAGCAAAAGGAGUGUUGUUCAAAAAUCCACCAAUGAUUUCUCCACAAUUCAAAACGUUAAUGCGGGAUUUUGAUAAUUAUCGGAGCUUGUGGGGUAUUUAGAUUAUAGGGUAUUUUGAGCAUAUAAAUGUAUAUACUCAACAACUACCAAAUAAAUAUAGCAUUCAUAUAGUUUACGUCCUAGGUUAAGCAUGUAAAUCUGUACCUAAACACUACCGAAGAAAAAUAUCAUAAGUUUGAAAUAAAUGUAUCAUUUGCUAUCACUAAUUCAUUUCUAAUGCCAUAAAUUUGUUGAUGCGGGUAGUUCAAAUCACCUAUCACGCAGAUUGAAUUUACCUACACGGGUUGUAAAAUCCACUCUGUUCACCUCGGAGUUAUUUUUACCCUUCAACGAGGAUAAUCUUGAUUUAUGUCCCCACAUACUACGUAAAUUUAUCGACCCAAAAAAAAAAUAAAACUACAUACCCAUGGGUAGGCAUAUUUCUCUACCCAGACUAGGUAACAAGGCGUUGCACCACCCACACGGGUAAAUUUACCCUCAAAAUUU